rnacentral:rRNA from 1 species
AUUGAACGCUGGCGGCAUGCCUUACACAUGCAAGUCGAACGGCAGCACGGGUGCUUGCACCUGUUGGCGAGUGGCGAACGGGUGAGUAAUACAUCGGAACAUGUCCUGUAGUGGGGGAUAGCCCGGCGAAAGCCGGAUUAAUACCGCAUACGAUCUACGGAUGAAAGCGGGGGACCUUCGGGCUCGGCGCGAGGGGGUUGGCCGAUGGCUGAUUAGCUAGUUGGUGGGGUAGAGGCGUACCAAGGCGUCGACGAGUAGCCGGCCUGAGAGGGUGACCGGCCACAUUGGGACUGAGAUACGGCCCAGACUCCUACGGGAGGCAGCAGUGGGGAAUAUUGCACAAUGGGCGGAAGCCUGAUGCAGCAACGCCGCGUGCGGGAUGACGGCCGUCGGGUUGUAAACCGCUUUCGCCUGUGACGAAGCGUGAGUGACGGUAAUGGGUAAAGAAGCACCGGCUAACUACGUG